rnacentral:rRNA from 1 species
UAGGGAAUCUUCCACAAUGGACGCAAGUCUGAUGGAGCAACGCCGCGUGAGUGAAGAAGGUUUUCGGACCGUAAAGCUCUGUUGUUGGUGAAGAAGGAUAGAGGUAGUAACUGGCCUUUAUUUGACGGUAAUCAACCAGAAAGUCACGGCUAACUACGUGCCAGCAGCCGCGGUAAUACGUAGGUGGCAAGCGUUGUCCGGAUUUAUUGGGCGUAAAGCGAGCGCAGGCGGAAGAAUAAGUCUGAUGUGAAAGCCCUCGGCUUAACCGAGGAAUUGCAUCGGAAACUGUUUUCUUGAGUGCAGAAGAGGAGAGUAGAACUCCAUGUGUAGCGGUGGAAUGCGUAGAUAUAUGGAAGAAUACCAGUGGCGAAGGCGGCUCUCUGGUCUGCAACUGACGCUGAGGCUCGAAAGCAUGGGUAGCGAACGGGAUUAGAUACCCUGGUAGUCCAUGCCGUAAACGAUGAGUGCUAAGUGUUGGGAGGCUUCCGCCUCUCAGUGCUGCAGCUAACGCAUUAAGCACUCCGCCUGGGGGAGUACGACCGCAAGGUUGAAAC